rnacentral:rRNA from 1 species
UUGGAGGGCAAGUCUGGUGCCAGCAGCCGCGGUAAUUCCAGCUCCAAUAGCGUAUAUUAAAGUUGUUGCAGUUAAAAAGCUCGUAGUUGAACCUCGGGAUCAAUGGAUCGGUCAUGCCAUCGGUAUGUACUGGUCUCAUUGGUUCUCACCUUCUAAGGAACCAUGAUGUCAUUAAUUUGAUGUUGUGGGGAAUUAGGACUGUUACCUUGAAAAAAUUAGAGUGUUUAAAGCAGGCUAACGCUUGAAUACAUUAGCAUGGAAUAAUGAAAUAGGACAUCGCAUUCUAUUUUGUUGGUUUCUAGGAUCGAUGUAAUGAUUAAUAGGGAUAGUUGGGGGCAUUAGUAUUCAAUUGUCAGAGGUGAAAUUCUUGGAUUUAUUGAAGACUAACUACUGCGAAAGCAUUUGCCAAGGAUGUUUUCAUUAAUCAAGAACGAAAGUUAGGGGAUCGAAGACGAUCAGAUACCGUCGUAGUCUUAACCAUAAACUAUGCCGACUAGGGAUCGGAUGAUGUUGAUUUUUUAAUGACUCAUUCGGCGCCUUACGGGAAAC